GGUCAAUGAUGAGCUGGCAUGUAUUCUGAAUCCGAAGUUGAUUAUUACUACGUUAGCUCUAGAAUUACUCUGAGACCUG
ensembl:snoRNA SNORD45C small nucleolar RNA, C/D box 45C